rnacentral:lncRNA from 1 species
UUAGGCGCUGUGGUUCUUUUGUAUCGCCGUUAUUUGUAUGCGGUGGAUACUCAGAUUAGUGUAGGAUGAGCUUACGCUCGUGCUGGAAUGCCGAGCUUAUUUUACAGUAGUGUGUAGAUUGUUUCGGACUGUCGGGUGCAGUCAGGGUUGACAGUGGACCCAGAUUGCGGGUUUUGCAUCAGAUUGUACCGAGGGCACGUGAGUUUUGGUUGUUAGACCAGUUGAACUCUGUUUACUUGAUUAUAGCCUGUGAGAGUCU